AUGGCCAGUAACCCUACGACUACUACGGCAUGCACCCGCGGUUUGCUGAAAGGUCUCGGCGCUAAACUGCACGCAUGCGCGGCGCGCUUGCGCAACCAACUCUUCUUCCCCGCCUCCACCGCUUCAUCGGUCUUGCUGUCCGCCCUCGCCUUGCUUGUCUGCGGCACCGCUCUCUCGAGGGUCGUCGUCUUUUUCCUGCCGCUGGUGGUCUCCACCACCAUCUGCUGCGCGGCGAUGUACCUGCUCGUCGCCUCGGGGUCGUCGGAGGGAGGGGCGGCGAAAGAGGUCGUGCUCCUGUGGGGAGACAGGGUGGAGGUCGGGCUCCUGGAGGUGUACGGCGGCGCGAACGCGAGCGCGUACGGCGACAGGCGCGACGUCCAAGUGGGCUGUUUCCUGCACCGCACGUCCCCUAGCGGCGACGGCGGGUGGAAGAAACUUGGCGUCGACGAGAACGGCGAGGAGGUGGUGUUUGCCGGCAGGGUGGCGGUCGGCGGCAGCGUGCAGGACGGCGCGGCGCUCGAGGAGGAGCUGGUGGCUAUCCAGGUGGACAGGUUGGCCGAGGGCGUGUGGGAGCGCUACUUCGGCGGGAGCUCCGGGUGGAACUACGUGACCGCUGAGCGUGAGGAGAUCGACCGAAGCAUCGAGCAGCUAGCGUAA
rnacentral:rRNA from 1 species